GAUGAACGCUGGCGGCGUGCCUAAUACAUGCAAGUCGAGCGAACGGACGAGAAGCUUGCUCCUCUGAUGUUAGCGGCGGACGGGUGAGUAACACGUGGAUAACCUACCUAUAAGACUGGGAUAACUUCGGGAAACCGGAGCUAAUACCGGAUAAUAUUUUGAACCGCAUGGUUCAAUAGUGAAAGACGGUCUUGCUGUCACUUAUAGAUGGAUCCGCGCUGCAUUAGCUAGUUGGUAAGGUAACGGCUUACCAAGGCAACGAUGCAUAGCCGACCUGAGAGGGUGAUCGGCCACACUGGAACUGAGACACGGUCCAGACUCCUACGGGAGGCAGCAGUAGGGAAUCUUCCGCAAUGGGCGAAAGCCUGACGGAGCAACGCCGCGUGAGUGAUGAAGGUCUUCGGAUCGUAAAACUCUGUUAUUAGGGAAGAACAAAUGUGUAAGUAACUAUGCACGUCUUGACGGUACCUAAUCAGAAAGCCACGGCUAACUACGUG
rnacentral:rRNA from 1 species